GAGUGGCGGACGGGUGAGUAAUGCAUAGGAAUCUGCCCAGUAGCGGGGGACAACUUGGUGAAAACCAAGCUAAUACCGCAUACGCCCUACGGGGGAAAGCGGGGGACCUUCGGGCCUCGCACUAUUGGAGUAGCCUGCGUUGGAUUAGCUUGUUGGUGGGGUAAAGGCCUACCAAGGCGACGAUCCAUAGCUGGUCUGAGAGGACGAUCAGCCACACUGGGACUGAGACACGGCCCAGACUCC
rnacentral:rRNA from 1 species